rnacentral:rRNA from 1 species
UACGUAGGGGGCAAGCGUUGUCCGGAUUCAUUGGGCGUAAAGAGCUCGUAGGCGGCUUGGCAAGUCGGGUGUGAAAACUCCAGGCUCAACCUGGAGACGCCACCCGAUACUGCCAUGGCUAGAGUCCGGUAGGGGACCACGGAAUUCCUGGUGUAGCGGUGAAAUGCGCAGAUAUCAGGAGGAACACCGGUGGCGAAGGCGGUGGUCUGGGCCGGAACUGACGCUGAGGAGCGAAAGCUAGGGGAGCAAACGGG